AUUGUUAAAAGGUGGGGAGCAGAUUCGAGAUUGUGAUUAUUGUUAUACUUUCCCUCCCCAGCUCGUUGGUCUCAAUCAACCUCAUUUGAACAAUCUCCUCGAGUUCCCACCUCUCCAGCAUAAUUUUAAGUCUGUAAAGGUACUGUUAUUGAAGUGCGUAAACGUGACAAGUGAAGUUCUUCCUACGAAAUUGUCCAUAUCUUGAAGAAAUGGUGGUUUAUGCAGCGGCAACGUUGGUAAAUUUGGAUGUUGUUGGUCCUUCCCUCAAGUUGAAACACAUGGGGAUAUGGUCCUGCCCCGAUUUAAAAUCACUUAAAAUCCGUGAUACAAACCUUGUAACGCUUGGGACUACAUCAGGGAACAGAUUAUUGCUUUCGAAUGUUCCUAUGCUGAUUGAGGUAGACAUUAUUAGCUUCUCAAGUACUUUGGAUAACGUAUUGGUUUGGCUGGGGUUUCCUGUGUUUUCUCUCAGCUAGAGGUCCUCAAAAUAACUGCUAAUAUGGGAUUGAAAUAUAUGGGGCAUUACAAGUUUCCUGAAUUGACCAAGCUCAAGAAAUUUGUUGUAUGUGUUCGUGCAUGGGAAGGCAUGAGUGUAUUAGGUUGGGAACAUGUGAUUGAGGCUGCUCCAUUGUUGGAGGAAUUUGAGUUGAAGUGGCAGUUGAAGUGGGCGAAACCCACGAGGUCAAAAAGAGAGUGUAGGAAGGCUGCAAGAUGUCCCCUCCAUCACCUCAAAGUGCUCAGGCUGAGUGGAUAUUAUGGGCGUACCAGUGAAGUUGAACUCGUUAGGUAUUUCUUGGAAAAUGCAAUUGCGCUCCAGAAAAUCAUUGUUGAUCCCCGACCUCAACAUGUCUAUUAUGUCUCUUUUUCACUUGACAAAAGUGAGGAGGAGCAAAUGGCAAGACAAUUUGCUAAGCUCCAGCUUGAAGACUACGAAGCGGCAAUUUUGAUUUAGAAGAUUGACAAAUUUGAUUUUGUUGCUUGCACGGUGGGAGCAUUUUUUUGGUGUAGUUUUCUUUGCCUCUGUUGAGAUAGGUCUUUUAAUUGUGGCCUCCAAUAUCAUAUAUGCUAAGAUUCUCCCCCAAAUCACAACGCCACAAACAGCUAUUCUUGGAAGGAUCCCCAGAACAAAUGUAUAUAGGAACAUUCAUCAACAGAGGGUCUUAUACCUUCCAUUUCAUAACUUUCUUACAAGGAAUUGGAAUUGGUUCGCAAGGCUUUGAAUCUUGCUUUUGAGGCGCAUGAUGGUCAAAAGCGUCGUAGUGGAGAGCCCUUUAUUAUUCACCCAGUUGCAGUUGCACAGAUCCUUGGACAGCUUGUAAGUUGUGCGAACUAUUGUA